rnacentral:rRNA from 1 species
GAACCGUGCGAACGUUGUUCGGAAUCACUGGGCUUAAAGGGCGCGUAGGCGGGCAGGCGAGUCCGGGGUGAAAGCCCGCGGCCCAACCGCGGAAGUGCCCCGGAUACCGGCUGCCUCGAGGGAGGUAGGGGUCGGCGGAACUUCCGGUGGAGCGGUGAAAUGCGUAGAUAUCGGAAGGAACGCCGGUGGCGAAAGCGGCCGACUGGACCUCUUCUGACGCUGAGGCGCGAAAGCCAGGGGAGCGAACGGGAUUAGAUACCCCGGUAGUCCUGGCCCUAAACGAUGGGCACCAGGUUGUGGGCCGGACAUGGGCUCACAGCCGAGGCAAAAGUGUUAAGUGCCCCGCCUGGGGAGUAUGGUCGCAAGGCUGAA